CUAAAACGUAAUUGUACUUGGGACAGUGGUUUUCUUGGGUAAAAGUAAACAGAAUGGGAUGGGAUGGAGCAGAUAAAAGACUUCAACUACUUAUAUAAUAAUUUAUUUCUCCGGUUGAGUGGCCAGUACAUAAACAUGACAUUUUUAAAAGGACGUUAUGUGGUUCGAUUCCUUCCUGAAGACGUUUGGAAUCCCUCAUAACGUCUACCUUAAAAUUACCUAGCAUCUCUUGUACCAUUCUUAGUUCUUAGUAUCGUCAUUAUGCAUAUAUUAGUAUACUCGGCCUUAAUUUAGGAACUUCCAGGUACCAGCUUUAGGUAGAUUAGCAAGUACUCCUCUUCCGAGGUAAUUCCUGACGGCUCUCUCAAGUCCUCCCGGAACUCAGUUGGCCUUCAAAGGACUUCGGCCUGACCCCUUCGGCCAACCUUAGAAUAGCUCCUCCCAGAUCUCCACGUCUACCCGCACUCGGAGUCAUCUUCAAUUCGCUUCCUCAGCAAAACCAGAAUGUGCCUGCCCCGAGUGAGCGCCGGGCCGUCUCCCUGUAGCGGACUCUGGUCCACUCCCACCAGAAGUUGCAUUUCUUCUUCCUCACCUCCUUCCUAGCCGCCACGACCGGGGCCGACCCAGCGUUGCGAGCCUCACUUGUGCAGGUGGAGCAGCGAUUCACCUGCAACACCACUUCCGGCCUAACCUGCGUUCCCACAGAAAACGAAAAAAAAAACAAAACCCCACUUAAAUCCGGAAGAGCUGAGUAGACCCUCUGCGCAUGUGUGAAACCGCGGCCCGCUCUGGUCUUCCGCCUCUUGACGCACUCUCGUGGUAUCGCGAUAUUUUAUCCCCGGCCGGCGUUGUUUUUGAACACUGGCGGUAACCUAGUUCUCGCAGUUGCGAGACGCUCCAGGGCAGACGUGGGGUAGUGUGAGGAGACGGAGGAGUAUUCGGCCUUGGGUCGGUAACGCAGUCGGACAGCUGCAGGUGAGCACGGUCAGAGCUGGCUCCGGCUCUGUGGAUUCUGUCGAUUCAGAAGGCCUUUCAGCUGACCCAGCAGCCUACGGAACCGUAAGCGCGGGCCCCCAAGCCCUCAGCCGCCCACCUUCUCCCUCCUCCGCCCAGCUGUACACCAAAUACCAAAAAAAACCAAACCCGUUGCAGUCAAUUCUGACUCAUAGCGACCCCCUAGGAUGGGGUAGAACUGCGGCAUAGGGUGUCCAGCGAGCGGCUGAUGGAUUCGAACUUUCACCGUUUUGGUUAGCAGCCGAGUUCGUAACCACUGCGCCACCAGGACUCUGUACACCAGUGUACUAAAUCAAACCAAACCCAUUGCCGUGGGGUUCUAUUCCGAUUCAUAGAAGACCAAUAGAACAGAGUAGAACUGCCCCGUAGGGUGUCCAAGGAGCGGCUGGUGGAUUCGAACUGCCGACCUUUUUGGUUAGCAGCCAUAGCUCUUAACCUCUGCGCCACCAGGGCUCCAUACACCAAAAAAAAAAAAAACACUAUAAAGAAAUUUUUUUUAGAAUAGGUUUGUUGUUGUUGUUAAGCAUAUAGGCAACAUUUUCUAUUGCUACAGCCUUCACAUGUACAGGUCAGCGACAUGUUUAUCGUGUUCAACUAUAAUAUUUUGACAGUCUUUGUGAAAUAAUAACAGGAAACUUUGCAUUUUAAUAAUAUAAUUUUACCCGUUUACUUAUUUGUCAUUGUUGUUAGGUGCCAUCUAGUCGGUUCGGACUCAUAGCAACCCUUUGUACAACAGAACAAAACCCUGCCUUGUCCUGUGCCAUCCUCACAAUCGUUUUUAUGCUUGAGCCCAUUGUUGCAACCCCAGUGUCAGUCCAUCUCAUCGAGAACCUUCCUCUUUUUCGAUGAUCCUCUACUUUACCAAGCAUGAUAUCCUUCUCCAGGGACUGGUCCUUCCUGAUAACAUGUCCAAAGUAUGUGAGACAGGUGUCACUGUCCUUGCUUCUAGUGAGUAUUCUGGCUGUACUUCUUCCAAGACAGGUUUGUUUGUUCUUCUGGCAGUCCAUGGUAUAUUCAUUAUUCUUCGCCAACACUGUAAUUCAAAGACGUCAAUUCCUUAGUCUUCCUUAUAAUUGUCCAGCUUUUGCAUACAUAUGAGUCGAAUGAAAAUACCAUAGCGUGGGUCAGGCGCAACUUAGUCCUCAAAGUGACAUCUUUGUUUACUUAUUUAGAGGGCCGUGAUGUAUUUAAUUAUCAUAGUAGUCCUGUGUCUCUUUGUUAGCAGUUUACUGACUGUUAACAUAAACCUGCGUUUCAUUAACUACGUUUUGAAUAUAUUUACACACACAUAUACAUAUAUACGUAUAUAUUGAGCCCUGGUGUCACAACGGUUAAGCGCUUGGCUGCUAACGGGAAGGUUGGCGUUUGGAACCCGAUCAGCAGCUCCAUGGGAGAAGGACCUGGUGAUGUGCUUCCAUAACGAUUACAGCCUGGAAGACCCUGUGGGCACUUCUGCUCUGUCACAUGGGGUCGUGGUGAGUUGGAAUUGACUUGGUAGCAGAUAACAACAGUAUCUGUCUGUGGCUGAUUUUUCAGAAGUAGAUCACCAGGCCUUUCUUCCUAGUCCAUCCUAGUGUGAAAACUUCACUGAAAGCUGUUCAGCAUCAUAGCAACAUGAAGGCCUUCACUGACAGUGGCUGCACAGGAGGAAUCCAACCCACGUAUCCUGCACGAAAGGGGAGAAUUCUACCAUUGAACCAGCACAGCGGAGAUGCUCCUCAGAUAUUAACAUAUCUAUCUGUGUAUAUAUAUAUUUGUCUUGGAUAACUAGAUGAACAGUGACAAUAUCCAGUGAGCUGAAAAUACAGAAGAUUUGGCAACCUCAGAGGACAGAGAGAAUGAAACCAAAGGCAUCAUAGCUGUGGAAGAGGGAGAGAGGAGAGCAGUGCACUGCUGUGAAAUCAAGACAGACCUGGCAGAGGCGGGGCCAAGAACAUCAAAGACAAAGUUGAGGCAUCAGACUGAGUGGCAGUUCCGAAGCAGCGAAGAAGAGCCAGACUUGAGAAAGCCAGCACCCCACGGGCUGGAUUGGCUGGCCCACACUGGUUGAGGCAAGCAGUAGCGCUUGGGACACCUUUCACCACAUCGGGAGAGUGGGUGGCAGACAGUCUGCAUGAGCCUCUGGAGCCAGGGGUGUGCAAAAGAUAAGUGGAAGCGUCUUAACCUACUGCACAGGAUCAAAGUAACCCGUCCCCCUGGGAGUUUAGUAACGGAGAAGUGCCACUUUCCCCUCACCCACCCUCCUCCCCGCUGCACCCUGAUACCAGUCCAGCAGUAUUCAACAAUUGCCACAACCAUUAAGUCGGAAACAGGAGCUGUUGCACCCAAACCGCUCUUGAGGUAUAGAAAAAAAAAACUACCAUCUCUCCUAAGCUGAGUACUGAGGACAAACUGUGCCCACACCAGUCUCAUGGCUUUAAAAAAGUCAUCACGCCCCCUAAGCCAGGAACUCAGGGUAGGCACAGGCAUAAGGGAUCUAUGGACUUCGAAUGCCCUUUACUUCUGCCUAGACCUGUGUGGGUCAGUUCAACAGCAUAUGUCUUCAUUAGCAUAGGGCAACAGAGUAUAUACUUGAAGCAUAUUUUCAUCUGCAGCAGCCAACGGGGAGUUGCAGAUUUGUGACAUUUGACACUGCCCUGCCUAUUAAGUAGAGUCCUCACCAACAUCGGGGGCCCGAGGACUGGUAGUUUCACCCAUUACACCUAGCCAUCCACGACAGGGGUCUGGGAAUAAGUGGUGCCUCCCAGUCCUUACAGCCAACAGCAUUGAGUGCCCAAAGUCUGGCUGUAAAACCCACCCAUCUACGUGUUCUAGGGGACAGGGACACGCCUUCCAGCUAGGCACACAGGGGCAGCCAUCAGACCCUACCUUGCUGUGCAUAUAGCCUUCUACUACAGCCAGAUACCUGGGCCUGCUUCAGUCACCCCUAUGUAGCCCUCCCUGUCUAGGACUAUAGAUUAGAGUCUGUACCACACACUGAGUGACUGACGACCAGGAAACCUGAGCUGAAUCCACACAAGAAAAGUAAAACAGACUCCUGGGCUUAUGUACCUAGUAGCAGCUGUAACCACCUGCUAACAGGACAUGAAUGCUUCAAAGACACCAGUAACCAAAGUAGCUCACAUACCCAGCCUGUUUGGGUGUAUCAAAACAAGAAGCUGUGACGCAGUAAGCAAUACAAUAAAUAAAUAUAAUAACUUAUCGAAGGUUCAGAGACAACAGUCAAUAUCAAAUCACAUAAAGAAACAGAUCAAGAUGGCUUGAGCGAGUGACAAAAACAAAGAACCAGGAAACCUUCUGGAGGAAGAGGAUGUCUUGGAGUUAUCACAGGUAGAAUUCCUAAGAUUAGUAUACAGAACUCUUCAAGAGAUCAGGGAGGAUAUGAAGCAAGUUGCAGAACAAACCAAGGAACGCAUGGACAAAGUGGCAGAGGAAAUUAAGAACACGUGGCAAGAACCCAUAGAGAGACAGCAAAUAGAAAUCCAAAAGAUUAACAAAGUUUCAGAAUUAGACAACUCGAUAGAAGGUCAUAGGAGCAAAAUUGAGGCAGUGGAAGUCAGAAUUCGUGAGACCAAAGAUAAAGCCGUUGAGACCAAUUUAUUUGAGGAAAAAUCAGAUAAUAGAAUUAAAAAAAUGAAGAAACCAUAAGAAUUAUGUGGAACACUAUCAUGAGAAAUAACCUACGAGUGAUUGGAGUACCAGAACGGCGGGGGAGGCGGAUAACAGAAAAUACAGAGAGAAUUGUUGAAGAUUUGUUGGCAGAAAACUUCCCUGAUGUGAAAAACGAGAAGAUAUCUAUCCAAGAUGCUUAUCGAACCCCACCCAGGGUAGAUGCCAAAAGAAAGUCACCAAGACAUAUCAUAAUCAAACUUGAUAAAACCAGAGAUAGAGAAUUUUAAGAGCGGCUAGGGAUAAAUGAAAAGUCAUCUACAAAGGAGAGUCAGUAAGACUAAUCCCUGACUACUCAGCAGAAACCAUACAAGCAAGAAGGCAAUGGGAUGACAUAUAUAAAGCCUUGAAGGAAAAAAAUUACCAGCCAAGAAUUAUAUAUCCAGCAAAACUGUCUCUCAAAUAUGAAGGUGAAAUUAGGGCAUUUCAAGAUAAACGGAAGUUUAGGGAAUUUGUAAAAACCAAACCAGAAUUACAAGAAGUAUUGAAGGGAGUCCUCCAGCUAGACAACCAACAAUAUCAGACAACAACCCAAGACUAGAACACGGGAAAGAACAACAAGAUAUCAACCCAGAUGGGGAAGUCACAAAAAUAAGUCAAAGCUAAAAGACUGAAAAUAGGGAAACAGAGAUGUCAAUAUGUAAACGAUGACAACAUUAAAACAAAAAAGAGGGACUAGAUAGUGUAGACAUACAACUUGCAUAUAGAGAGGAAGUUAAGGCAAUAUCACAAAGUAAAAGAUUGGUUUAAAUUUAGAAAAAUAGAGGUAAACUUUAAGGUAAAAUCAGAGAGGAAAGUAACCUACCCAUCAAAAUAAAAAAGAACAUAGAAGACUCAGCAAAUACAAAAUCAAUAAUAAUGAAAAGAAAAUAUAUAAAGGAAAAUGACUCAGCACAGAAAAUUAAGUGGAACAAAGAAAAUGUGAACACCAUAAAAAAAGUACAUCAAAAUCACAGCACUGAACUUAUGCCUAUCAAUAGUUUUACUGAAUGUAAAUGGACUAACUGCAUCAACAAAGAGACAGAGAGGCAAAAUGGAUUAAAACAAACAAAAAAACCCGUGAUCUGUCUAUGUGCUGCCUACAAGAGACACGCCUUGGACUCAAAGACAAAAACAACUAAAACUCAAAGAUGGAAAAAAUACAUCAAGUAAACAACAACCAAAAAAGAGUAGAGUGGCAUUGUUGAUCUCUGCCAAAAUAGACUUUAAAGCAAAAUCCACCACAAAGGAUAGGGAAGGACAUUAUAUAAUGAUUAGAGGGUCAAUACACCAGGAGGACAUAACCGUGAUAAAGGUAUAUGCACCCAAUGACAGGACUCCAAAAUACAUAAAACACACUCUUAACAGCAUUGAAAAGAGAAACAGGCAGCCCAACAAUAAUAGUAGGAGACAUCAACACACCACUUCCGGUGAAGGACAGAAUAUCUAGAAAGAAGCUCAGUAAAGAUACAGAAGAUCUAAAUGCCAUAGUCAACGAGCUUGACCUCAAAGACAUAUGCAGAACACUCCACCCAACAGCAGCCAAGUAUACUUUCUUUUUCAGUACACAUGGAAAAUUCUCCAGAAUAGAUGACAUAUUAGGCCACAAAGCAAGCCUUAAUAGAAUCCAAAACCUUGAAAUAUUACAAAGCAUCUUUUCUGACCAUAAAGCCAUAAAAGUAGAAAUCAAAAACAAGAAGCAAGGAAAAAAGACAAAAUCAAAUACAUGGAUAAGAGUUUAAUCUCUAAAAUCUACAAGAUACUACAGCACCUCAACAACAAAAAGGCAAUUAAAAAAUGGACAAAGGAUAUGAACAGACAUUUCACCAAAGAAGACAUUUAGGCUGUUACAGACACAUGAGGAAAUGCUCACCAUUAGCCAUUAGAGAACCGCAAAUCAAAACUACAGUGAGGUAUGAUCUCACCCCAGCAAGGCUGGCACUAAUCCAAAAAACACAAUAAAUGUUGCAGAAGUCGUGGAGAGACUGGAACACUUACACACUGCUGGUGGAAAUGUAAAAUGGUACAACCACUUUGGAAAUUGAUUUGGUGCUUAAAAAGCUAGAAAUGGAAGUACCACACGAUCUAGGAAUCCCACUCCUUAGAAUAUAUCCUAGAGAAAUAAGAGCCCUCACACAAAUAAAUACAUGCACACUCAUGUUCAUUGCAGCCCUGUUCACAAUAGCAAAAAGAUGGAAACAACCUAGGUGCCCAUCAACAGAUGAAUGGGUAAAUAAAUUGUGGUACAUACACACAAUGGAAUACUACGCAAAUGAUAAAAAAAAUCCGUGAAACACCUCACAACAUGAAUGAAUCUGCAGGGAAUUGUGCUCAGUGAAAUUAGUCAAUCACACAGGACAAAUAUUGUAUGAAACCACUAUUACAAGAACUCAAGAAAAGGUUUAAACAGAGGAGGAAACAUUCUUUGAUGGCUAGGUAGGUGGGGAGGGAGGGAGAAGGAAGUUCACUAACUAGAUAGCAGAUAACACACAAUACAGGGAAAGCACAACUGGACUAAAAAGCUAAGAAGUUUCCUGAACACAACCAAACACUUGGAGGAACAGAGUAGCAGUGGCUGGGUCCUGGGGACCAUGGUUUUGGGGGACAUCUAGGUCACUUGGCAUAACAGUUUAUUAAGAAAAUGUUCUGUAUCCCAAUUUGGUGAGUGGCUUCUGGGAUCUUAAAAGCUUUUAAGAGCCAUCUAAGAUGCAUCAGUUGGUCCCAACCCACUUAAAGCAAAGGAGAAUGAAGACACCAGGAAAAUAUUAGCCCAAGAGACAAAAGAGCCACAUAAACCAGAGAGAUUUCAUCAGUCUGAGACCAGAAGAACUAAAUGGUGCUUAGCUACCACCGUUGACAUUCCUGACAGAGAACACAACAGAGAGUCCCUGAUGGAGUGAGAGAAAAUGGCAGAGGAGAACUCAAAUUCACAUAAAAAGACCAGACUUAAUGGUAUGACUGAGACUGGACAAAACCCCAAAGCCACGGCCCCUGGUUGCUCUGUUAAUCCAGAACUAAAACCAUUCCCAAAGCCCGCUCUUUAGACAAAGAUUAGACUGGAUUAUAAAACGACACAAAGAGUGUUCAAUCAGAUAUACGAGUCCAAAUGGGAAGCUCAUCUCCAGAGGCAGGAUGAGAAGGCAGGAAGGACCAGGAACUGAUCAAUGGACACAAGAAACCUGGGGUAGAAAGGGGGAGUGUGCUGUCACAUAGGGUUUGCAACUAAUGUCACAUAAUAAUAUGUAUAUAAAUUUUUGUAUGAGAAAUUAAUGUGAGCUGUAAACUUUGAUCCAAAGAACAAUUAAAAAAAAAAAACCUGUCCUCAAAUCCUACUUUUGCCUCUCUGAUUACCUUAUCUGUGAAGUUGCAGAUGACAGAAUCUAUUUCAUAAUGUUGUGAGAUAAUGUAGUGCCUGUCAUAUAGUUAGCCUUUCAAUAACUGAUGGCUAUCAUCAAUUUGAUUUCUGUGUGUUCCAUCUGGCGAGGUCCAUGUGUAUAGUCGCCAUUUAUGUUGGUGAAAGAAGAUAUUUGCGAUGAAGUCGUUGGUCUUGCAAAAUUCUAUCAUUUGAUCUCCAGCAUUGUUUCUAUCACCAAGGCCAUAUUUUCCAACUACUGAUCCUUCUUCUUUGUUUCCAACUUUCGCAUUAAAAUUACCAGUGAUUAUCAAUGCAUCUUGAUUGAAUGUUCGAUCAAUUUCAGACUGCAGCAGCUGAUAAAAGUCUUCUGUUCAUCUUUGGCCCUAGUGGUUGGUGUGUAAAUUUGAAUAAUAGUCAUAUUAACCGGUCUUCCUUGUAGGUGUAUAGAUAUUACCCUAUCACUUGACAGCAUUGUACUUCAGGAUAGAUCUUGAAAUCUUAUUUUUGACGAUGAAUGCAACACCACUCCCCUUCGAGUUGUCAUUCCCAGCAUAGUAGACUAUAUGAUUGUCCAAUUCAAAAUGGCCAAUACCACUCCAUUUCAGCUCACUAAUGCCUAGGACAUCGAUGUUUAUGUGUUCCAUUUCAUCUUUGAUGAUUUCUAAUUUUCCUAGAUUCAUACUUCGUACAUUCCAGGUCCCGAUUAUUAAUGGAUGUUUGCAGCUGUUUCUUACUCAUUUUGAGUCGUGCCACAUCAACAAAUGAAGGCCCCGAAAGCUUUACUCCAGCCACAUCAUUAAGGUCCACUCUACUUUGAGGAGGCAGCUCUGCCCCAGUCGUGUCUUGAGUGCCUUCCAAACUGGGGGGCUCAUCUUCCAGCACUAUAUCAGACAGUGUUCCGCUGCUAUUCAUAAGGUUUUCACUGGCUAAUACUUUUCAGAAGUAGACUGCUGGGUCCUUGUUUUCUAGUCUGUCUUAGUCUGGAAGCUCAGCUGAAAUCUGUCCUCCACGGGUGACCCUGCUGGUAUCUGAAUACCGGUGGCAAAGCUUCCAGCAUCGCAGCAACACGCAAGUCCCCACAGUACGACAAACUGACAACUGGACCAGUGAGCAACAUCAUGAUAAAUGGAGAAAAGAUUGAAGUUGUCAAGGAUUUCAUUUGACUUGGAUCCACAAUCAACAGCCAUGGAAGCAGUAGUCAAGACAUCAAAAGACACAUUGCAUUGGGUAAACCUGCUGCAAAGGACCUCUUUAAAGUGUAGAGCAAAGAUGUCACCUUGAAGACUAAGGUGCGCCUGACCCAAGCCAUGGUAUUUUCAAUUGCAUCAUAUGCAUGUGAAAGCUGGACAAUGAAUAAGGAAGACUAAAGAAGAAUUGGUGCCUUUAACUUGUGGUGUUGGCGAAGAAUGUUGAGUAUACCAUGGACUGUCAGCAGAGCGAACAAAUCUGUCUUGGAAGAAGUACAACCAGAAUGCUCCUUGGAGGCAAGAAUGGCAAGACUGGGUCUUACAUACUUUGGACGUGUUGUCAGGAAGGAUCAGUCUCUGGAGAAGGACAUCAUGGUUGGCAAAGUACAGAGUCAGUGGAAAAGUGGAAGACCCUCAACAAGGUGGAUUGACACAGUGGCUGCAACAAUGGGCUCAAGCCUAACAACAACUGUAAGUAUGGCUCAGGACCUGGAAGUGUUUCGUUCUGUUGUGCAUAAGGGAGCUAUGAGUCAGAACCGACUCGACGGCACCUAACAACAACAAUCAUCAACGCCAAGAACAGCCUUAAGGUUGGAGAGGAAGAUCUCAGAGGUAUUAUGCUGUAGGCAAAGGAAGUAAUAUUUCUCAGGAAUGUGCAGGAAGAGACCGAAAGGAUUAAACCUAUAAUUCUUUGUUAAUACAUGUUGUUAUUAGGUGCUGUCAAGUUGGUUCUGAUUCAUAGUGACUGUACAACAGAAUGAAACACUGCCCUAACCUGUGCCAUCCUCACAAUCUUUGUUAUACUUGAUCCCGUUGUUGUAGCCACUGUGUCAGUCCAUCUCAUCCAGGGUCUUCCUCUUUUUCGCUGACUUACGUUGCCAAGCAUGAUGUUCUUCUCCAGGGACUGGUCCCUCUUGAUAACAUGUCCAAAGUACAUGAGACGAAGUCUCAUCAUCCUUGGUUCUAAGGAGCAUUCUGGUUGUACUUCUUUGAAGACAUUUGUUUCUUCUGGCAGUCCAUGGUAUAUUCAAUAUUCUUUGCCUAUACCAUAAUUCAGAGGCAUCAUUUCUUCUUCAGUCUUCCUUAUUCUUUGUCCAGCUUUUGCAUGCGUAUGAGGAGACUGAAAAUACUAUGGCUUGGGUCAGGCGCACCUUAGUUCUCAAAGUGACGUCCUUGCUUUUCAACACCGUAAAGAGGCGUGUUGCAGGAGAUUUGCCCAAUGCAAUGUUUUGUUUGAUAUCUUGUCUGCUGCUUGCAUGAGUGUUGAUUAUGGAUCCAAGUAAAAUGAAAUCCUGGACAAUUCCAAUGUUUCCUCCAUUUGUCAUGAUGUUGCUUAUUGGUCCAAUUGUGAGGAUUUUUGUUUUCUUUAUGUUGAGGUGCAAUCCAUACUGAAAGGCGUAGUCUUUGAUCUUCAUGAGUAAGUGCUUCAAGUCCUCUUCACUUUCAGCAAGCACGGUUGUGUCAUCUGCAUGUCGCAGGUUGCUAAUGAUUCUUCCCCCAGUGCUGGUGCCGAGUUCUUCGUAUAGUCUAGCUUCUCAGAUUAUUUGCUUGGUAUACAGAUUGAAUAAGUAUGGUGCAAGGAUACAACCCUGACGCACACCUUUCCUGACUUUAAACCACAUAGUACCCCCUUGUUUUGUUCAAACGACUGCCUCUUGGCCUAUGUACAGAUUCCUCAUGAGCACAAUUGCGUGUUCUGGAAUUCCCACUCUUUGCAGUGUUAUCUGUAAUUUGUUAUGAUGUGUAGUUGAAUGCCUUCGCUUAGUCAAUAAAACACGGGUAAACAUCUUUCUGGCAUUCUCUGCUUUCAGCCAAGAUCCAUCUGACAUCAAUAAUGAUGUCCCUUGUUCCGCAUCCUCUUCUGAUUCUGACUUGAACCUCGGGCAGUUCCCUGUCGAUGUACUGCUGCAGUCGCUUUUGAAUGAUCUUCAGCGGAACUGUACUUGGGUGUGAUAUUAUAUUAAUGAUAUUUUUGAUAAUUUCUGCAUUCUCGUGGACCACCUUUCUUUGGAAUGGUCAGAAAACAUGAAUAAACAGCGUUCCUUUUAUUUUGACCUAUCCUAAAACUGGCUCAAAUUAGAUAUUUACAUUUGGUUAAUACUUCACAAGGAUAUUUAUUCACUGUUUCCUCUACAGAUUAGGUCGGUAUUACCUACUGUUUUAUAGGUCUAUUAUUCACCUAUUCAAAGGUUAUUUUGCCAGAGAUCUGGUAUCAACAGAUGUGCACACUUACAUUUAUUUUUCUAGCAAUGUUAAACCACAAAUCAGUUACUCCUUGUCACCAACAAUAACACCUUUGCAAAGAAAAGUUUAUAACCUUCCACAGUGUCAGUUACUUGGGAAUAUUUAAACUAUGUAAGGAUAACGAAGCAAUGGAUUGAUACAGUUUUAACUUCCUCAAAAAUGCUAGUAAGAAAAAUAGUAUGCACAUUUUAGGUUGGGAAUGUUGAAGGGAGGCUUACUUGAAUCAUCCAAAUUGAACUUUUUAUUCCCAAUGAUUUCUAAGCCUGGUUUUGCAAAAGAACAAGGUACCUCUGAUGAUCUCUUGGGAUAUUCUUAUUAUUUUAAUGUAUGUAAUAAUAUUGGCAGUUUAAUUCCACCAAGAGGCACCUUGGGAGAAAGGCCUGGUGAUCAAUUCUAAAAAAGUCAUCUGCUGAAAACCCUAUGGAACACAGUUCUGCUCUGACAAACAUGAGGUCACCACUGAGUUGAAAUUAAUUAGAUGGUGACUUGUUGAUUUUAUAAUAAUAUUAAAAGAUACUGAAUUUUUACUGUGCCAGGUACUAUGCAAAGCCUGUUACAGAUAUUAAUUCAGUUAAGCCUCACAACAGUAUGAGGUAUGCAUUUCUGUUUCCCCUUGUUUACACGUGAAAACCGGAGAGGAAAGGUAGUUUGCCCUGGGUAACACAGCUGGGGAGCCCUGGUGGCCUAGUGCUUAAGACCUCAACUGCUGACCGAAAGGUCGGCAGUUCAGAUCCAUCAGCCACUCUUUGGAAACUUGAUCGGGUAGUUCUACUGUGUCCUAUAGGGUCGCUAGGAGUUGGAAUCGACUCCACGUACCCAACAAUAACAACAACACAGCUGGAUGGGAGCUCAGAUCUGUUUGAUCCAGACCUCAGACUUCUAACAUUGGUAUUCUCAGAACCUUCAAAACUGAUUUAUUUUCUGAAAUAAACAUAUGCCUUAAGUAGGAUUUUUAAAAAGUUAAUAGGACUUUAUUUUGUAGAAUAGUUUUAUGUUUACAGAAAAAGUGAGCAGCAAGUACAGUUUUUAUAUACAACCUCUCCCCCUACCCACAGUUUCCGCUGUUAUUAACAUUUUGCAUUGGUGUGGUAUAUUUGUUACAAUUACUGAGCCAAUAGUGAUACAUUCUUAUUAACUAAGGUCCAUAGUUUUUGUGUUGUACAGUUCUAUAGGUUUGACAAACACGUAAUGUCAGAUAUUCACCAUUUCAGUAUGAUACAGUUUCACUGCUCUAAAAAUCCCCUGUGCUCCACCUAUUCAUUCUGCCCUACUUUCCCCUCAGGCCCUGGCAAACCGAAAAACCCAGUGCCCACCAGUCAGUUCUGACUCAUAGCGAUCCCCUAGGGUUUCCAAGGCUGUAAAUCUUUGUGGAGGCAGAUUACUGCAUGUUUCUGUUGGCUUUGAACUGUUGACCUUUGGUUAGCAGUCAAAUGCAUUGACCACUGCUCCACCAGGGCCCUAUAAGCCCUGGCAACCACUGAUCUUUUUACUGAGGCCCCAGAAGAAGCAAAUGAUUUGCCCAGGGUAUAAGUAGUAAUUCUGAGUGGUUAGUGGCAGAGGUGGGAUUAGAACUGAGGUCAAUGUUUUAUGUAUUAACUAUGCUAUAAAACACACAUAAAAACCCAUUCCCACAUACACACACACAAACCCAGCUGUAAGCCAGGUAAGUGGGAAGUAGACAUAUGACACCCCUAUUCUUUCUGCCUACAUAUCUCUCAGCAUUUACAGUUUCUCAGGGAAUUGCCGUAUAUGCGUGGAAAAUUUUUUUGUUUUAACUAUGUUUUUGGGUUUAUGAGUUUUUUUGUUGAUGUUUUGUUUUUUAAUGUCAGGGGGAGGGAGGAAGGAAGCAGAACUAAUGGUUCCCUAAACACUUUUCCUGUCUGUAGGCAGGGAUUAAGCAAUCACCUGCCAGAUUUCAUCACUACAGUGAAUGUCAGGCUGACAAUUUACUGGAAACUUAUCAUUCUUUUCUAUUCCAAAAACUUGUAAUAGUUCCCUCCCAACAUGAUGUAAACAGUUGAGUAAAGUCGUCCCUGAAAAUAGCCACCCUACCUUCAGGCCAUGUACAUGUACACUGUACCUUUCCUGAUCUCUUCGUGUCAGCCCAUAAUAGAGCCUUUAAUUGGAGGUCAAAGACCUGAUGUUGGCUAGGAAGUACUUAGUAAGAAUAAGAUAAGUAACACAGAGAUACAGUCACAAGAUGGAAGACUCUUCUCUGUCUACAAAUUUUGCAAAGAAACAUUACAGACCAUUGCUGUCAAGUCGGUUCCAACUCAUAGCAACCCUAUAGGAUAGCGUAGAACUGCCCUAUAGAGUUUUCAAGGAUCCCUGGUGGAUUCGAACUGCCAGCCUUUUGGUUAGCAGCCAUUAGCACUUAACCACUACACCACGAGAGUUUCCAAUAAAUACAUUAGUUCUCCACAUUUGUAAUGAAGUAAACUAUGGCCUUGGCACCAUCUAAAACCAAGUGGAUUCCAACUCAGUGACCCUGUCGGACAGAGUAGAACUGCCCCAUAGGGCCUUCUAGGCUGUGAUCUUUACAGAAGCAGACUGCCAUGUCUUUGUCUUGCAGAGCAGUUGGUGGGUUCAAACCAUCGACCUUUCGGUUGGCAUUAUCUAAGCUAUCUCUAAAUGACAACCUAGGGGAUGGGACUACUCUAUGUUUGGACCUCAUGUUGGUUGUGGAGCAGCCCACAUUGUUCUCAAGGAGAAUAAUUGGAAACCUGUGGUAAAAGUGGUGAUGACAGCUGCGUCCCACCCCGAACCCAAUUUAGGUAUGAAUUCUUGCUCUGGGGUCACAACGAGAACCAGUGAGAGGGAAACAAUUGUUGAAAACAAGAAGGAUUUUAAAUAUACCCUGUUUGGGUUUUGGUUAAUCUUUCUUUAAAGAAAAUAUAUGCAUUACUGAAUAAUGAGAAUUUUCAUUUGUAAAGACCUUUCAAAUUCUCAUUUAUUCAUGGAUCAUAAAAUAUUUUAUGCUUAUUACGUGUGCCUUGGAGUCCUUGGGUGGUACUAAUGUUUAAUGUGCUUGGCUGCUAACUGAAAGGUUGAGAGUUUGAGUCCACCUAGAGGUGCCUUUAAAGGAAAACCUGGUUGGUCAUCUACUUCUGAAAAAUCAGCCAUUGACUAGUACAAAUCAGACAAAGGUCUAAUUUCUAAAAUCUGCAGUAAAUUCAACACCUCUACAACAAAAACACAAAUAAUCCAGAUAAAAACUGGGCAAAGGAAAUGAACAGAAGCUUCACCAAAGAUAUUAAAGCAGCCAGCAGAAACGUGAGGAAAUGCUCGCAUUCACCAGUCAUUAGAGAAAUGCAAAUCAAAACCACAAUGAGAUACUGUCUCACCCCAGCAUUGCUGGCAUGAAUCAAAAAAACAGGAAACAACAAAUGUUGGAGAGCCUGCGGGAGCCUGCGGAGAGAUUGGAUCUCUCAUGCACUGCUGGUGGGAAUGCAAAAUGUUACAGCCAUUUUGGAAAACGAUGUGGCACUUCCUUAGAAAGGUAGAAGAAGAAAUGCCAUAUGAUCUAGCAAUCCCACACCUAGGGAAUACAUCCUAGAGAAACAAGACUCGUCACAUGAAUAGACACAUGCACACCCAUUUCAUUGCGACAUUGUCCACAAUAGCAAAAAGAUGGAAACAACCUAGAUACCCAUCAACGGAUGGAUAAACUGUGGUACAUACACACACAAUGGAGUAUUACACAGCGAUAAAGAACAAUGAUCAAUCUGCAAAGCAUCUCACAACAUGGAUGAAUCUGGAGGGCACUAUGCUAGGUGAAAUACGUCAAUCACAAAAGGACUAAUAUUGUAUGAGACCAGUACUGUAAAAACACAUGAAAAGGUUUAUACACAAAAAGGAACAAUUUUUGAUGGUUAUGAGGAAGGGGGGGGUGAGGAUGUAAAAACACUAAGUAGACAAUAGAUAAGUGGUAACUUUGGUGAAGGGUAAGACAGUACGCAAGACUGGGGAACCCAGCACAGCUUGUACAAGGCAAGGUCAUGGAAGCUCCAUAGACACAUCCAAACUCCCUGAGGGACCGAAUUGCUGAGCUGAUGACUAUAGGAGCCAUGGUCUUGGGGAACAUCUAGCUCAGUUGACAACCCAGUUUAUAAAGGUACGUGUUCUACAUCCUACUUUGAUGAGUAGCAUCUGGGGUCUUUAAAGCCUGUGAGUGGCCAUCUGAGAUUCCCCACUGGUCUCACUCCUUGGGGAGCAAGGAAAAAUGAAGAAAACUAAACAUACAAGGGAAAGAGACCACAUCUACCACAGCCUCCACCAGACAGUCUGGUACAAUGAGAUGAUGCAUGGUUACCACCACUGAGUGCUCUGACAGGGAUCACAAUAGAGGGUCCCAGACAGAGCUGGAGAAAAACAGAACAAAAUUCUAACAAAAAAAGACCAGACAUACUGGCCUGAUAGAGACUGGAGAAACCCUGAGAGUAUGGACCCCAGACACCCUUUUAGCUCAGUAAUGAAGUCACCCCCAAGGUUCACCCUUCAGCCAAAGAUUAGACAGGCCCAUAAAACAAAAUGACAUUCAAGGGGGGCACAACAGCCCAGGGGCCAGGACUAGAAGGCGGGAGGGGACAGGAAAGCUGGUAAUAGGGAACCCAGUUUGAGAAUGGAGAGUGUUGACAUGAUGUGGGGUUGUUAAACAAUGUCAUAAAACAGUAUGUGCACUGUUUGAGAAACUAGUUAUAUAAGCCUUCAUCUAAAGUACAAUUUUUAGCCGUUGAAACCCCUGUGAAGGACAGUUCUACUCCAACACACAUGGGAUCACCAUGAGUUGGAAUCUACUCAACGGCAGCUGGUACACCUGUGUGCCUAUUUUUCUGGGGACACAGAUAAUAGACUAAUAAGUACAUUGUUUCCUUGUCUCCUUGAGGGUCUUCCUCAAGGAGAUGGAUUGACAGCGUGGCUCCCACAAUGUCCUUAAAUAUAGCAACGAUUGUGAGGAUGGCGCAGGACCACACAGCGUUUCAUUCUGUUGUACACAGGGUUGCUGUAAGUUGGAACCGACUUGAUGGCACCUAGUAACAACAGGGAAAUUGUAAUAAAAUGACAGGUAGUUAAAAGUGCUAAGAAAUAAAAUUAUGUGUUUAACAGACUACAUUUUUAUUUAUAUAAUUAUUCUGAUUUUUUAUUCAUUAAAAUACGUAGUUUAAGCUGCAGUCAUCCAGAGGAGGGAUUGGAAUUAACAAGGAGUAAACAAUGACCACUCACGGCAGGCUGCUUCUGGAAUGGGUAGACAUUGCAACUUUUUGAGUCUCUUUAAAAGCUGUGAGAUUCUUAAGAACAGCAGUCUGGGCUUGUUCAACCUUAUAUCCUGAGCCUCUAGCAUCAUCCUUCCUGCACAGUAGGAGUAAAGUUAAUGCUGCAUAAAUGAAAACAGAAUUCUUAGAGUCCCAAAUGGAUGAUUCCUUCUCAGUCUUCAGGACUGAGUUUAGUGACCAUUUCUACCAGUAAGCCCUCUCUGACUAUCUGGAAGCUAGAUUAAGACUGUGUGUUCAUGGGACCUCCACUUACUCUCAUCUCCGGAGGUAUCAUUCUCUGUUUACUUGUCUCUCUACCAUUAAGACAGAGCAGGAAUUUUAUCUUAGUCACCUUUGGCUCCAGAUCACAGGUUAAUAACACAUGUUAGGCAUUUAGUUUGUUGACAUGAAUUAAUGACAGACAAUUGUCCUUUGAUUGUAAGGUUAAGUACAUGUUAUGGAAUUAAAAAAGAUAACAGAUUCACACCCAUGUUCAUUGCACCAUUAUUCACAAUAGCAAAAAGGUAGAAACAACCUAAGUGUCCAUGAACAGAUGAGUGGAUAAGUAAAUUGUAGUAAAAAAAUAGAAUAGUGUGCAGCAGUAAAGAAUAAUGAUGAGUCUGUGAAACAUCCUGUAACAUGGAUGAAUCAAGGACAUUGUGCUGAAUGAAGUAAGUCAAAUACAAAAGGAUGAAUACUGCAUGAUACCACUUUUAUAAAAAGUCAAGAUUAGGUAUACACACAGAAAGCAACAUUCUUUGAUGGUUACCAGGGAUGGGUAGGGGAGUGUCAUGGAUUGAAUUAAGUCACCCCCAAAAUGUGUGUUUCAGUUGGGCUGGGCCAUGAUUCCCAGUAUUGUGUGAUUUUCCUCUAUGUUGUAAAUCCUGCCUUUAUGAUGUUAAUGAGGGAGGAUGGGUGGCAGUUGUGUUAGUGAGGUGGAACGCAAUCUAGAAGACUGGAUUGUGUCUUGAGGCAAUCUCUUGAGACAUAAAAGAGAGAAGUGAGGAAAGAGACAAAGGGACCUCAUACCACCAAGAAAGCAGUGCUGGGAGCAGCGCGUGUUCUUUGGACCUGGGGUCCCUGCACAGAGAAGCUCCUAUCCUGGGGAAGAUUGAUGAGAAGGCUGACAGAGGAAGAAAGCCUUCCCCUGGAGCUGACACCCUGAAUUUGGACUUUAGUCUACUUUAUGCUCUUCUGUUACAUCUUUGUAUAUGUUCAAGCAUUUCUUCUCAUGUACUAGGUUUCAGUGAACCCCGCACCCUGUAAAAAGGGCACAGUAAGUGGAGCUUGUGUUCCAGUCUGAUGCCCCAUUCUUUUAGUCAAGACUGGGAAAUGUGUGCUCCAAACAUGCAAACCUGAAGUUCCGGGAAUGGACACUGAGACUUGUUAAAGACACAAAAGAGCCACUGAACAGGAAAAAUGCUUAGCGUGGGAGAUACCAUCCAAGGAGCUGGCAGCAACCCUGGCUGGCUACAGAGGCCUAAUCAAGGCCUAGAGUGUAGUGUGCCUGUUAUGCAGGAACUGCUGCGGGGGCUUGGUGGUCUGAGGAGUAGAAGCCAGCUGGAACUCAUUGGAAUGGUUUCCUAGUGACAGUUGGGAGAUUCCCACAUCAGAAGGAUGGGCUCAUGUGGCAGGAGAUGGAGCCAGAGGCAUCCAGGCACAGGUACUGGAAGCAUCUUCAGACUCUCUUACCGUGUCUAUAAGGCAGUCUGGGACUCCACCAGAGUAGACAGCUCUGGCAUUGCAGACCUACUAGUGGUUGAUGCUAAUUAUACUGAAACAGUAAAAUAAAUAAAGAUGCUUUCAUUUUUCAGCUAUAAAAAUUUUGGGAAAAAAGUAGCUUACCCCCUAAUCAGCCACAGUCGCGCCACCAAAAGUCUACCAGUGUUACCAUUUUGAUAUGUUUCCUUUUUGCCCCCUUUUGGAUGUAUUUAUAAAAUACAGUUGUCAUAGGAUUGUUUUGUAGUAUAUUAGUUUCUGCUUGUCACAUAUACUAAUUUAUCAUAAACAGUUUUCCAUGUAAAAUGCCUUGUGUACAUCAUUAAAAACUUCAGUUGAUGUAUUUCUGAUGUUAAAAGUAAAAUAUACUCAUUUUAAGAAAUUGGAAAUAAUAUAAAAGGGGAUAAUUCGGGGGAUAAUUCUUAUCAUUUAGAGAAAAUAUCCUGUUAUGAUUUUGCCUUUCUUCUUUACAGUCUUUUUAUGCAUUUUUUAACUUAGUGAGGAUUAUACUAUCGGUACAGUUUUGAUGCUGCUUUUUUCAGUUGACAUUUCUACCAUACCCAUUUCCCCAGUGUCACCUAAAAUGCUAUCCCUGUUUUCAAGGAGAAAACCCUGGUGGCAUAGUGGUUAAGUGCUGUGGCUGCUAACCAAAAGGUUGAGGAUAGUUCGGGUCCCAUGGGAGAGGGUAGAUGGGGAUCAAAGGGCCGUAUAAACAGAGAAUCUAGGGACAAAACAUAUGUACAGUGUGGGUUAGAAUAAAAUUUUGGGAUAAAUAUAAAAUGACUGUACUCACAAUUAGUAUGUUGCCACUGAUUAUAUAAUCAAAUAUUUUUUCCUUUAAUAGCAUUAUUCUUUUUUAUUGUGCUUUAAGUGAAAGUUUACAGAGCAAAUUAGUUUCUCAUUCAACAAUUCAUACACAAAUUGUUUUGUAACAUUGGUUGCAAUCCCCGCCAUGUGUCAACACUGUCCCCCUUCCCCAGCCCGGGUUCCCUGUCACUUCCUGCCGUCUCAUCUUUGCUUUUAGGCAAGUGUUGCCCAUUUGGUCUCAUAUGAUUAAACUAAGAAUCAUGUUCCUCAACCGUGUUGUUGUUUGUCUAAUCCUCGGCUGAAGGGUGAACUUUGGGAUAAUAGCAUUAUUUUUAAAGUUUUAAAAGUUAUUGCCUAAAUUGUUUUAAAAUAAAUUGUUAUUAAUUUUAUAAUGUAAGAGCAAUAGAUGAAUAUGCUAAAUAAUUAAAAUUGUACCAAAGAGUUUUUAUUAAAAAGAUACUUGCAUGAACAACUGCUGCCUUUGCCAUAGGCCCAGCUACCAUUACUAAAUGUUUUGAUCAAAGAUUCUGUAGAAGAAUUCUGAUUAAGAGGGGAAAAAUGCUGAAGAGAAUUUCACAUUCUUAUAGACUCCAGACUUUCUGGAGCCAAGGAGGCUAGAUGAACCCCCAAAACUAUUGCCCUGAGAUAAUCUUUAAACCUUAAGCCAAAAAUAUCCCCCGAAGUAUUCUUUAAACCAAACAAUUAAAAGAAAAACAAAAACCCACUGCCAUCAAGUCAAUUCCAACUCAUAAUGACCCUAUAGUACAGAGUAGAACUGCCCCACAGAAAAUCCAAGGAGUACCUGGUGGGUUACCUUUUGGUUAGCAGCCGUAGCACUUAACCACUAUGCCACCAGGGUUUCCAGAAACCAGACAAUAAAAAAAAAACCAGUUUAGCUUAAUUAGUAAAGAAUGUCUGCCUUGAGCAUUGUACUCUUUUAAAAAACUAUGUAUAAUAGAUCAAAUUGACAUGAGCAGCUUGAAACAGUAGAUAGGAAACUUAGGGGUCAGUGAGCUUAUGUUAACCAGGGAGAAACUAUUUGGUAAAGGCAGGUGAGAAUGGUUGCACAAAUUGAAAAAUAUAAUCAAUGUCACUGAAUUGUACAUGCAGAAAUUGUUGAACUGGUGUAUGUUCUGUAUAUAUUCUCAACAACAACAAAAAUAAAUUUUUUUUUCAAAAGAUACUUAACUGCUUCCCAUUCCAGAACCCCUGCUCAUAGUUUCUUCUGUAUUAUUCUAGAAAUGGAUACUUUUCUUAAACACACAUUUAACACACUGUUCUUUUUUUUUAACUUAAUAGUAAAUCUUGGUUUCACUUCAUAUGGGUAAAUAUAGAUCUAUCUUGUUCUUUUGAAUGGAUGCAUAUUUUUCCAUUGGAUGUGCUAUAAAUUAUUUAUCCACUAUCCUGUCAAUGAACUUUUAAUUGUUUACAAUUUUUGUCACUGUGAGAAAGGGCUUACCAUAUCUUUGUGGCACACUUCUUUUCAGAGCAACUAAUUUAUGAUUAUAACAUAUAGUGAAAAUCAUUGGGGAAAUAGUAUUCACUAAUUUAAAAAAAAAGCAAGGAUUUAGGGAAAACUGCUGGCCUAUAUAUGUUUGAUUAAAUGAGGUCCAUUUGGAUAUAAAAUAUCCUAAAGGAAAAUGAAUAAAAUUUAGCGUUUGGUACUGCAUUUUAACCGACUGGCUAUCUUUUAAUAAUCACAUCAUCACUACUAAAAGCUUUACUCCUUGUUAUGGGUUGACUUGUGUCCCCCUGGUGACCUGAACCCUGGGUGCAGUGGUUAAGUGUUUGGCUGCUCACCAAAAGGUUGGCAGUUCGAAUCCACCAGCUGCUCCUUGGAAACCAUAUGGGGCAGUUCUACUCUGUAUUAUAGGGUCACUCACUGUGAGGUGGCAUUGACUUGACAGUAACGGGUUUGAUUUUGUUUUGAUGACCUGUGAAUGUGACCUUGUUUGGAAAUAGGGUCUUUAAAAAUAUUAUCAGUUAACAUGAGGUAAUUGAAAGAGUAGGAAAAAAAAAGUCAUCAUGUGAAUUCCAAGUCAUGGAGACCCCACGUGUGUCAGAAUAGAACUGUGCUCCAUAGGGUUUUCAAUCACUGAUCUUUUGGAAUUAGAUUGACAGGCCUUUCUUCCAAGGUGCCUCUGGGUGGACUUGAACCUCUAACCUUAUGAUUAACAGCCAAGGGCCUAAUGGUCUGUACUACUCAGUGACUCCUACUGGAGUAGGGUGGGCCCUGAUUUAAUAUGAGUAAAUGUCCUUAUAAAAGAAAUACCAAGACAGAGAAAGGUCAGCCAUGUGAAGCUUUAGCCGCAAGCCAAGGAACACUUGGGACUACUAGAAGCUGGAAGAGACAAGAAUAAGAAAGGAUCUUUUCUUAGAGCCUUCCCAGAGAGCAUGGCCCAGCCGACAUCCUGGAUGUUGACUUCUAGCCUCCAGAAGUGUGAGACAAUAACUUUCUGUUGUUUUAAGCCACCUACUUUGUGGUACUUUGUUACAGCAGUCCUUGGAAACUAAUUUACUAACUAUAAAUCAGGCUAGCCUGCUACAGCAGUUGUUGAUUGGCUGUUUUGACUGACGGUGAGGGAUAACUCUGGUAGUGGGUUAGGACUAUGAUUUCAACUGCAAUAUUUUUUGAUUUGCUUUCACAGCUGACUCCUUUUGGUGAAAGUGCUGUGUCACAUACUCGAAUAAACAGAAUCAAAUGACUUAGAGUUGACCUUCCCUGACCAUUAAUCCUUUCCAGGGCCCUCAAAACUAGGGUUGGGAAAUACUGUAGAAGAAGCUUAGUGUCAUCGUGUAUUUCAGUCACCAGGGAAUGAUUUGGCAUCUUUUUUUCCUUAUCUGUAGCAUGCAGUUUUUCAGAGAUGAGAGCAGGAAAGAAAGAAUUUCAAUCCAUCAGCAUCACAUGAGAUACUCUGUGCUGUGGGUGUUCACUGCUCGGUCUGUAUGCCUCAUCCAGUCUCCUUUUGGUGGUCAAUGACUAGAUGGUCUGUUAGAAUUAGUCAGCUGUCAUAUAAGAGAAGAUAUCAUAUAGAAAGGUCAUUAAAUCAGCAACCUUGGCCUUAAUAAUAAUUCUGAAUCUGCUGUGAUUGCAGUAAUCUAAAGUAAGGAUACUACACUGGUCAAUGUCUUCCUUCUAGGGCUAAAGUUCAAUUUAAAUCAAUCAUUCUGGAUAUAUCAGGUGAUUAAUUGCUAUAUUACACAGCAUAUGGGUAUAUUGUUAACAGCUUCUUUAGAAGGGAAAAAUGAUCCACAGGGUUUAUUUUUAUCACUUUAUUUCUUCUAUUUUGUCAUUUUAAACAAAUUUCCUCAAAUGGCCAGAGUCCAAAGUGGCUGUUAUUACUGUUUACCUGACCAUACAGCUUCAAAUUCCGGUUACAGUGAAACUCUGUGUGUGGUUAGACUGUUUUGUUGUUGUUCUAAGUUAAACACAAACAAUCCAGGGGUAUGAUAGUGAACAACACAGACAAUGGGAAAUUAAAUGUGGUAUAUUAAGUUAGUUAAGAUGGAGAAAUUACGCAUGGCCAACUUCCCUCAUUCCUUCUUUCUUUAUUCAGUACUGGUAGUCCCUGACUUACAAUGUAUUUGAGUUACGACAAACCACACUUACCACCAUCUGGUUUUUCUUUCUAUUUUUUUUUUUUUUGGUGCAUCUUAUUGUUAGUAAAAUGUAUUACAUACAUUGUUGCAGCACGUAAAAGGACCAUACAGAGGACUCUCACUAAUUUACCACCUAGAAACACCAUCUCCACUCCCAGGGAUAAUUCAGAUGAUCCAGAACCUUCCACAAGUGGAGUUAUUACUGCAACUGACAAAAUGCCAAUGUUGUCCAUUUUUUUACAGAUGUGUGUAUUUUUUUAUGUAUGUAUUAAAAUAUAUCCGUAAGUUUAUAUGUAAUGUUUCCAACCCCCAAAGACAAGGAUCAGAUUUUUAAAGAUAUUGAUAAUAAAAGGCAAUAAUAACUAAAACAAAAGAAAAAUGAGGUAUCGAACUUACAUCAGAAUGAAUUUACAAUGGAGUCGUUGGAACUCUAUUGUAAGUUGGGAACUGCCUGUAUAUACUCACUGAAAACUAACUGUGUGAUAAACACUGUUCUAAGUGCUGGGGCUAAAACAAAGUGGUGUUCUCUUGGAGCUCAUUUCUCUGUAUAACUGAUGCAUUUGUAGGUCUGAUUCUACAUCCCAAGAUAGCUGGAGUGAAAGAUCAAAAUGAAGUAAAGAAACGGAGGGUACAUAAGGAUGUGUCUUCUGGAAUAUAAAAAAUACACAGGCAAAGCCAUAGAGAAAGAAUAGAGUAAAAAAGAGAGGGAAAGACAGCUAGGGGGGACAAGGAGAAUGCUAUGGCUUGAAUCGGGUCCCUCAAAAUAUGUGUUGAAGUCCUAACCCCUGUAUUUGUAAAUAUGAGUCUGUUUGGAAAUAGGGUCUUUCUUUUGUUAUGUUAAUACUGUCCUAACAGAGUAGGGUAGUAUGGUGGUCAUAAACCUAAUCACUUCUAUGUAGUACUUUAUAAAAAGAGGAGAAUAGACACAGUACACACACGCAGGGGGAAGACAGAUACCAUGUGAGGAUCAUUUAUAAACAAAGGAACACCAAAGAUUGCUGGUGGUCACCAGAAACUAAUAGAGGCCCACGGAAAAUUUCAACAUGGUUAAGAUGCUGAUUUGGACUUUUAGCCUUCAGAACUAUAAUGAAUUAAAUUUCUGUUCUUUAAAAACACAUACUUAUGGUAUCUCUCGUUGCGUCAGCACUAGGUAACUAAGACUACUACCACUCCUGUUGCCAUGGAGUCUAUUCCAACUCAUGGUGAUUCCAUGCAUGUCAGAGUAGAACUAUGCUCCAUAGGAUUUUCCAUGGCUGAUUUUUCAGAAGUAGAUUCCCAGAUCUUUCUUUCAAGGUACCUCUGGAUGGACUCAAACUUCCAACCUUUUGGUUAGCAGCAGAGUGCCUUAACAGUUUGCUCCACCAUGGACUCUUAAGACAGGGAAAGAGAUAUCAAGGACCUUAUCUCUAUUCCAUUACUUAAGAGUUAUCCCUGCUUCUUUAGGACAGACUGUGUAUAAGCCAUCUCCAUAUUCCAUGCAGCUAACACAGUGCCUGGGAGAGUAUUGUCAGACCUAGAUGGUCAGAUUAUUCACUAACUGUGGGACCCUGGGCAACUACCAGAAUGUCUUUAAGACUUAGGCUCCUCAGGGGUAAAAUGCUGAUAACAUCUACCUCACACAGCUGUUUUAUAUAAUAAUAAAAGCUAACGGUGUUUACUAGUGCUUACUAGUUCUAAGCUCUUCAAAUAUAUUAACUCUCUUAAUGCUGAUAAAAAUCUUUAGAGGUAGGUAUUAUUAUUGCCCCAUUGUAUAUAUGAGGAAAGUGAGGCACAGAAAGAUUAGAAAUAAACUGCACACUCUAAUGCCAAGGGUGUUUCUUACCUCCUCCUACUCCAUUUUUUGGUGAGUAUUGAACCCCCAUGCCUUCAUGGAACUGUGAUAGAUAAUGCAGAUACAAGGGGGAGCACAACGUAUCUGCUUCUUGUGCUCCUGGAAUUUAUGGUCAUUAGUCCAGUAACAUGAUCUUUCACAGGUUCUCAGCCUACCCAGUUUUCUCGCAUUUCUCUGUCAGUCCAUUAGACCUCUGAUCAACUAGCCGAGGGUUGAACACGGUAAGCAGAACCCUCUGGGCCUCCUAAAGGGCUGAGGCUGGUACCAGGUAACUACGGGUGAAAAGGCAGACUGACAUUCCUCUCCACAGCGACUCGAAGUCUCCUCUCCUUAACCUAGGCUUUAAAUGGAGGAAUUUGAAGCAAGGUGCUUCCCAGGACUAACCUGUAUUCAUUCCCCGCCCUCCUCCCUAGAGGCCUAGCUGACCUAUUCCUGACCUUGCGUUCCUCUGCGAGAGUUGCGUUCCCCU